AUAGCUGAGUGAUAAAGCACUUGGCUUCCAAACCAGGGGUCCCAGGUUCAAAUCCUGGU
rfam:Biomphalaria glabrata isolate BB02 unplaced genomic scaffold LGTN_random_Scaffold2192, whole genome shotgun sequence.